rnacentral:rRNA from 1 species
UACAGAGGGUGCAAGCGUUAUUCGGAAUUACUGGGCGUAAAGAGCACGUAGGCGGUUUUGUAAGUCUGAUGUGAAAGCCCUGGACUCAAUCCAGGAAGUGCAUCGGAUACUGCAAGACUUGAGUAUGGGAGAGGAGAGUGGAAUUUCUGGUGUAGAGGUGAAAUUCGUAGAUAUCAGAAGGAACAACAGAGGCGAAGGCGACUCUCUGGACCAUUACUGACGCUGAGGUGCGAAAGCGUGGGGAGCAAACAGG